UAAUGAAAGGUUAACAUGCUGUGUAAUCCUGAGUUUAAUCAUGUUAGAUGAUCUAUCAAGGGUGGUAUUUAAAAUUGUACAUGAGUGCUGGUAUGUAACAAUUUGAGAAAACAAGGGAUUAUCUUUUGGCAUUCCUCGGAUUUUGAAUAUUGAAGGAGCUUGAAACAUUGUAUUCGGCUUGGUUCCAGGGGUGGGAUUUAGAUGUGUAUUGGUCAGAUAUUUGCCGGAAAAUUGAGACAUCCUGUUAAUAUUUUGGGGCUUGAACUGUCGUGAUUGUGGCAGGCUCAGAAACUUUUCUUUUUCAUUUUUUGGUUUAAAGAAUAUGACGUGCUUUUGCUGAAGUAUUUUGUUGAUAUGAUAGGGGACUAGCCAUAUACAAGCAGUCUGCGGAAGUGCAGGUUCUAGAGAAAAUGUGUUUUCUUACAAAGAUUACCCAAUCUUCAUUGUCAAUUGGAAUCGCGUAUCUGCUCCAAAAACUUGCAGAGAACUUAAAUGAUCCUCUGAUAUGUACAUAGGAGUUUAGCUUCUUCAAAGUUUUUUUUUUCUUUCCAUAUUAGUCGCAUAAGUGCUAGAGGAGCCAUUUCCAUAUCUACUCCUUUUCCUCUUGAAUUCCCAACUCAGAAUAAGUCUAUUAUGGUAGCCGGCAUUACCUGGUGCCAAACAUGUUCCACGCCGUGUUCCACAAUUGGCAUUCAAUAUGACUGAAAUCGCAAGUGGUUGACAUCUUGUCGCGACUUCUUGCACCCAAAGCACGAGUAGAUGUGAAGUAUCUUCUAUUUCCUCAAAUUCUCAGCUGUUAGAAUUGCUAAGGAAAAAAGCAAACCUUUUAGGUGCCUAUAGGAAACAAUACCAAGGGAUGGGAAAAAAAAUGUCCUUCCUUCUCAAUAGUCUAUGAUAAAAUGAGUUUAUCCUUGUUCUGUGUAUCCCACUUCAGCUGUCCUGGUCCGUUAGCAAAAAAGAAAAUGAAAAUGGAAGCAACAGCCUAGAAAAGUGUUGUUUAACCUCAGUGGUCCUGGUCCGUUAGCAAAAAAGAAAAUGAAAAUGGAAGCAACAGCCAAGAAAAGUGUUGUUUAACCUAUAAAGAAGAGGGCAUACCUUCUUACAAGAUCUACUGAGCUAAAAAGUUGGGGGAUGCCCAGAACUUAAAUUAGCUAUGACUGCUGCUUACUCUCAACUACAGCCUUACUGCGUUACUGGUGUCUGAGAUCAAGGAUAUAGGAAUUCCUGAUUACAAGGUACACACGCUUUCAAUUUUCUGAAUUUAUCUUUUGCUGUAGUUUGUCCUCUCCUGUCUUUCUCCCAUUUUAUCUUGUGCGCUUCUUUAAUUUGCGAGUUAUUCUUUAUUGUUUCACUCCUCAUAAAUGGC
rnacentral:lncRNA from 1 species